UGUUGUCAUAAUUAUGUGAAAUAAAUUUGUGUCAAUGUUAAAAGAAAGUAACUGCAAAACCUAAUUUUUUUAUUUAAAUUUGAAAUUGGAACCUUCAACAUUGAUGUACGUAAACAUGGUGGGACAAAACAAAAGAGGUAACUGAAAGGUACAGAAGAUAGUCUUUUUUAUUAUUAUUGUUGAAACCAAGUACCAAUGGAAGAAUAAAAAGCAUUACUUGGAGUCUUCAUAAUAAGAAACAAGGACUAUGUACUGAAUAAUUAGACAAAGUAGAACAAUAAUCCUUCUUCAAUAAAGAAGCAAUAUAUACAAAUCAUUAAUCAACAUCUUGUAAUCUUGAUAAUGCAUUUGUCUGUCUCUACACCUUUCUGCUGGAAAAUGAGGUUUGUUAAUCAAUGUACCAAUUCACGUCCCUCUGUUGGCGCUGCUCUUUCACCUCAUUCCACUGUAUUGGUGCUUGUAGAAUUCAAGAACUGCUCUUCUUUCCUCCAUUUCCGAAGGCCCCAAUAGGUUGUGCAAGAAUGCGCUUCAUUGCCUUCACUCCCAAUGGGUUGCCCUUGCUCUGUAUCAACAAAAGCAAUAGAGUAAGUAGAGAAAAAACUCUGGUCCAAAUUCUUUACGUUGUCUGUGCAUAGGAGAGUUGAAACUCCUUUGUAGAAUUGACAAAUUCAAAUUACUUACCAUUGAGCAGGUGCCUUGACGAACAUUGCAGACAGGAUAGUCGUGUGGGCAGCAACUGUAGUGGUCUUCACAGCAAGUGGCUCCUUCAAGUGGGCAGCAUCCCCAAGAGAAGCAAGAAUUAUGGAACUGAAGGAUACAGCAGCAAGUGGUGCCGACAGGGCAUUGAGAAGAUUCAUCACACUCGGUAGGUGGCUUGACUGGAGAUGGAGGAGAUGGAGCGGGUUUAGGAGGAUUUGCGCCUGUCUUUACUGGAUAUGAAGGCUCUAUGGCUAAACCACACAAGCCACUAGACCUGGCAACGUUACGUUGGACUCUGAGGUAGCCCUUCUCUCCCCAUUUAGCUCCCCAUGAGUUCCUAAUGAUCCAAUAAUCCAUGCCAUUCUCAGUACCAUAUCCAGCAACAACUACACCAUGAUCCACUGCAGUACUACAUUUUCCAGUAAAGAUACCCUGAAAUUACAAGUAGGAUAAUCGCGUAAAUAAUUGGAUGUGAUCAUUAUUAUAUCAUAGUUUUUCGACCUACAAUUAGAAGUCUGUCAAUUAAUAUAUCUUUGGUCGGAAAAAAAACUACACGUCAUUGAUCAAAAGGCAACAUUUUACUGUAAAGACAUUAACUUAGAUAGGGUAAUACGAGAAUAGAAACAUACAGAUUUGUAGUGCUGGAAGUCUCUGCCACCAGCUUCAAUUGCAAUGCUCACAGGUUGAUGUGCAACAGCCUUUUGUAGCGCCUUUUCGUUAUUAACAGGAACAUCUUCAUAGCUAUCUAUUUUAACAACCUUGGCAUUUUUCUGCAUCACAAACAAAAUAUGCUGCCACUUAUUAGUCUAAAUUUUAACAUUGGUAUUUAGUUAGGAGUGUAAUUGAAAUCAAGAAUGUUAUACUGACCCUGUACUGGUCGCAUACGCCAUUACGUUCUUUGUAAGGGUAGUCUUCUUCAGUGUCAAUUCCUCCAUUAUUGAUGACGAAUUCAAAGGCAUAGUCCAUAAGACCACCAUCGCAACCUUGAUUGUACGACUUAUCACAAUCCACCAACUCUUGCUCUGAUAGUGAUAUCAAAUUCCCGGUUACUAUCGCAUUUAUUGAUUCCAUGGCAGCAACGGCAGAGAAUGCCCAACAACUCCCUGGUUCAUUUAAUCGAUUGAUUAGAACACAAAUAUUCAGCCAUACAACAAAUUUAUUGAAUUGAAGUAUACAAAUGUUUAGCCAUUUUUUUAUGGUUGAGGCACAUAAUUUGGUGGUAGUUAAGCAGUAAAAUAGUUAUAUCACAUGGGUCAUUUGAUAGCUGGUUAGAGUUCAUAACUCGCAGAUACAUUGCUCAUUUGCUCGAUACAUAAGUUUUGUACCAGAUACAUAACUAUAACUAUAAACUAGGUUCAUAUUGAUUUAGAUUUGAAAUAAUUGAGAUUAUGUAUCAACAAUAACAUUUGUACCAAAUAUAUUGUACAAACAAAAUUGUAAUGUAUCUAAUAGAGGAGUGAUGUAUCCAAAUGUUAAGAGAGAAGAAAAAAAAAAUAAAAAUUUGUAAUUAAUUCAAAUGAAAGGAAUUUUGAGAGAUUAUGUUAUCUUAAGUCGUGUAAUUACGUAAUUUUUCCAUUAUUAUGUGCAAGGAUAUUCAUGUAGCAUGAUAAUAUCUAAAUUUCCUUAUAACUUAUACAUGCAUUAGUUAUAUAGAUUUUUAAUAUAAUAAUAUUUUUAAUAAAUACGACAAGUAUUUUAAGAAGAGGAAGCAUCUACUAAAAAAUCAAGACAUGUUGGAGGCAUCAUAGAAUUUUAAAACAUAUUUCAAACUUGUCAAAAAGCUGCAAAGAUGCCAAAAGAUACAAAUUAGUUUGCCAAAUGAAUAACAUUUGAAAUCGAUGUUUGUUCCCUUGUUUGUUUGUUGAUAUUUUUAUAAUUCAUAUGGUAUUUUAUAAGGAGGAUGAAACUGACAUUAUUGGGUCAAUUCAUGUAACGUUUAUAUCGAUUUGCAAAUUAAAUAUAGCAUAUAUUAUAGUAUUCUAUAAACAUCAAUCAUUGAGCUUUUCCAUAAUUAUCAAGUUCCGUUGUUUAAAGUUUUUCACCAUAAUUAUCUGUUGUGUUCAUAUUUGACCCGAAAAAUAAUUAGGAAAAUUUUUUGAGAACAAAAUAACAGAUUAUAAUACUUUAAGGAGUCGUUUGGUUUGAAUAUGAGUUAUGAUGGGAUAAGUUAUGUUGGGAUAAGUUAUGUUGGGAUUAGUUAUGAUGGGAUAAGUUGUCCUGGGAUUAUUUCUUAUUGAGUGUUUGGUUUGUUAUAUUCAAAAUAAUAUUUAUUGAUAAAUUUUAAGAACAAGUUGUUUGUUUACAAAAUUACCCUUCACUUUAUUUAAACUUUUUAAAUAUUUCUUUGUGAGCUUUAGUUAUUCAUUUUUUAAAAUAAAACUUUUAUUUUAUUUAACUUAAAUAUUUUUGUUUAUGUAUUCCCAUGAUAAGUACCAUGUGUAUUUAAAAAUAUAACUUUUUUCUUAUUUAGCUUAAAAAUAGAACUUCCCUCUUAAGUUUAUUAAAGAGAAGAAAAUUUAUGAGAAAUCAAAAUAAAAUAAACAUAAGAAUUAGUCAAAUAAAUUCAUAAAUAAAAAUUAUAUUUAUAUAGUAUAAUUUUUUAAUAGAAAAAUAUGUAUAAUUAUCAUAAAAAUAAGGAGUAGUAAAUAUUAUUAUACAUGGUAUUAAAAAAAAUGUAAAUAUACAUAAAUGUAAAAAAUGAUGUAUAAAAAGGAUUUAAAGGGACAUAUUUGUCAUUUACCUAUUUUAUCUCGGGAUAAGUUAUCCCGGGAUUACUAUACCACCCAUGGGGAGGGAUAACUUAUCCCGGUACUAAUUAUUAAUCCCGGGAUAAGUUAUCCCGGACUAGCCAACCAAAUAACAUCAUUUUUUUUAUCCCAUCACUAUUUCCUUAUCCCAUCACUAUUAUUUCUAAUCCCUCACACCAAACGAGCCCUUAGGAAUUUGGUGUAAUCAAGUCUAGCUUCCUUUUUUUUUUCUUUCUUUUCCCAGUUUCAAGUAUCAGCUUCAUACUGUUUUCGUUAAUAAAAUCUUACCUCAUCAAAAGCAGUUUGAUGGUUGAGGAAAGAUUUUGGUAGUCAAAAGUUAUGAAAAUUGUUAAUCUACCAUGUUCUUUCCGUGCAUGCAGCUCAUUUCACUCUCAUUUGGAUCACAAGUUAUCCAAAAAAGAGGUUGACAAGCUAGAGAAAAAGAAAUGGACUUACAAAUGGGUGGUAGCCAUGUCAAAUUACAAGUGGAGGGGGACAGACAAGUGUUUUCUGAAGGUAGCUGUCUUGUUUGCUUAUUGCUAUGUUAUUCUAUUGUUGAUUGCUUCAUAGUGCUCAAACCCGUCUCCACGUUUGGUUGUUGUAGAUCUUCAUUCAUCCCUUCUCUUGGGCAGAAGGUCUAUUAGGCUAUGUUCAUGUAAUAUCAGUCCGGUAAAUAGUUAAAUAGUGAUCUGUGAUUUGUUUUAAUUCACAUUGUUGCAAAAUUUUUGCAAAAUUGCCAGCUGCAUUGCUGGAGCAACAUAUAUCUUUGCUAGACCUAACGUCCAAUUUAGGGGCAAAUUUGGGCAAUAAAUCUAUAGAGUAUUUUGUGGUCCAAAUUGUUUGAAAGUGGUAUCUUGCUUAACAUCUUCUAGGAUUUAUUAGUGUAUUUCUCAAAAGGAACAGAAAAUAGUUCAUGGUCAGUGAAAUGCUGUUGCCGGUGUCUGGUAACUCCUACCCACUGAUAGAGAUUCCACUUGCUUCUGGGUUUCUUUAGGAUUGUGGAUCGAUUAUCAUAUUGAAUCUGGGUAUUUUUAAGGGGAAAUUUUAAAAAUAUACAGUCCUACAUAAAAUAUUACGCAAUAUAGAAUAUUAUAUAACAUUUUGCAAUAUUAUACCUGAGGGAAAGCAUUAUACAUAAUGUGUCAACCUUGUAUAAAACUGUAUAAAUAAUAUAUAAAAGGUGUUUAUACACAAAUAUGAAUUACACCGGGAAUAAUGUUGUAUACUAUUUUAUAUUGGAUUACGUGGCGUAAAUAUUGUCUCCCAGUAAACGUAAAGCAUACUUUUCCCUUUUUUAAAUUGGUUCAUCUUGCAUUUGGCUUUCUGUUAGAUACUUGUCAAUUCCAGUUAUUUUUGUUUUCAAGCUUCAAACUUGCAGGUGCAGUGAUACUUAUUGCAAUGUGUCUGGAUACUCUGCAGUUCUUUUUGAAAUCUUUCCUUUUUAAUAUCCACUUGUGACCCUUCGGGGUGGCCCAGUGGUUUGGGCUUGGGACUUCCAUGUUGGAGGUCUCAAGUUCGAAACCCCUUGCCAACGAAAGCAAGGGGUUUGCCUUUUGGUUUGAGCUCGUCGCACCGGGCUUGCCUAGUGCGGGUUACCUCUCCUAUGUGGUUUGCGAGCUAUUGCAUAGGAGCGGGGUUUUACCCUGUGCGCACCCAAAUGAUAGCGGCUGCGGGUUUCCCUUGUCAUCAAAAAAAAAAUAUCCACUUGUGGGAUUAUACUCUGUAUUAUGUGUUGUAAACUUGCGUAUGGGUGUGCACGUUUGUGUGUUUCUUUUUGUGAUAAACAACUUAAGUUUGUAAAGGAUACCAACAGUCAAGAGCUCUCUUUUUCUAAAACGUUGCUCCCUAUAUGUAUUGAGUUACAUGUGUACCAUGUUUUUUGAUGCUUAAUGAAUGAGUUUAGGUCGAAAUGUCGAAUUCCCUCGGUUACUGUAUUUUAAGGUUCACGGAGGAAUGCCUUUUGCUUGCAUUGCUGAAUAGAGGCAAACCUUGCAAUACCUAGCUGGACUGCUCUUUGCUAUAUCAAUGGAUUCACCUAUUAAAAAUUUAUGCAUUGCUUUUCCACAGUGAUCUUCCCAUACAAUUACAAGUUCCAUUGCUUCCUUGCAGGAGCUAGACAGCUUCUUGUUUCAUGGCUUGAAGCCAACACUACACAAGCAUUGGUUGAGUAUAUAUGAGAAGUCUGGAGGGGCAGAUUUUGAUUCAUCAAAGCAGAGAUUAUUUUUCUCCAUAUGUGAGUAAAGGCCAUCAAGUUUGUUUUGGUCAUUUAUUGGUGUUUUACCUAUCAAAUGUUUGUUGCCUGUGGUCUGAUGAUAGAUGGAUAGAACUAUGUGCCUGUUUCUUAGUUAUUUUGCAACAACUUGUGCAAGAUAUGUCAGUUACAGUCAGCAACCCUUAGAGUAGUAGAUCAUUAGUGUGACACCAGAACCCGAUGUUCUUUCAGUUUAUCAAUCAAAGUUUUCAUGUCACUUAUUUCCUGAUGUUCUAUGUGGUUCUAUGUGAUACUUGUGGUUUUACUAAUAGCACUAUCUAUUCUUGUCUGAAGUAGUGUUUACUACUAGGUGUGAUUUGGUGAAGUUAAAGUAGAAAAAAUGAAUUUGAGUUAACCUUGUGGAAAAAUUGGAGAAAAAAGAGAUUACUAAUGGUAGAGAGAUGUCUUAGGCUGCAUUAUUAGCUACUAUCUCUUUUUGUGGUGAAAUUACUUGUGGAGUUGUUCUAUAUGUAUGUAUUUGAUUUUGUAAAUCUUGUCAUAAACUAAAAUUGUUCCAAGUGAAAUAUUUUAAACAUCUAAGGGCAUAGGAAAAAGCAAACAAAAAGGAAAUAUAAAAUUGAUGAAAAUUGAUGGAGGAUGUCCACGUUGUGGCCAUGGAGACCUGGCCUUGUAUUCCAGCGACCACAUAAGUUAUUAUUUUUCUUAUCAAAAAAAGAAGAAGUGGGUGUAGGAUAGGGAUUGGGAGGUGGCUCGGUGGAGGAUCUCCAAAUUGGCAAAUUCGAAUCUUCACAACAAACCUUGGUGUGAGCCCAUCUUCUGCAGUUUUUGUGGGCAAGUUUACCAAAUGGGCCUAGGCUGGUUCUAACACUAUACUCCCCCCCCUCCCCCCCCCAAUUGGUCCAUUAAACAUUGAGGUCCACUUGUAGUGCUGUUAUUCUUGGUAGGUGAACAUACAUUCACUCAUAAUGGUGCACAAAAUUUCACUAUGCUGAACUUGACUCAUCUCAAAAAAGUAAACAUGCUUGACAACGUAUUCAAUUUUAAUUCUGAUGUGAUAUUUCCAACUUAACCAACAAGUGAGAUCCAUCUCUAAUGAUUCACACCUUAUGUAUGCAUCAGUGAAUGCAAAACGUUGUCGUCCUAGGAACUUUUAAGCAUUUGCAUUAUGUGGUUUGGUGAUUGCAUCAUUCCCUCAAGCUUAAAGUUCAUAAAACCAGAGUAUACAAAAAUUACAGGAAGUGACGUUCUUACUUGCAGUAUCAAGUGCUUACUUUAGGUUUUGUAAUUCAUCAAGUUUGUCUAGAUUAUGGGAAUUUGGUUUUGAGUGAUUGUUGAGGGAGGGAAACAAGAAUCGGAUAGGGUGUGUAUUUUCUUCAUCGAAGGAGUACUAAAGGUGAAUUAGAUUCUCUACUUAUUUGUUCCUCUUACCAAACUCCUAUUGUGGCACCCUUUUUGUUGUUAACCAGGUGGAUUUUAUCUUGCCCUUCAUGUAUGUUAUUCUGUUUCCUGUUCUGCUAUAAUUGGUGUUGUAAUUGCUAUUACUUCCUUUACUCUUAUAGGCAACAGCUACCGGGAUAUUCUGCACCACAACAAGAAACCCUUCUAUCUCAAAGGUCUAGAAGAAGAUUCAAGUACCAUGGAUGCUUAUGUUAUGCAUUCUGUAAGAGCAUCUCAUUAGCUUCUUUUCACCAUAAUUUACUUGUUCAAGUAUUAGUGAUGUGUUUUAUAAUCCAAAUUGCAAACAUGUCUUGGUUAUUUGAGGAAAUUGUUUUAUGCAGCUCAAUCAUAUCUUCAGAACCAGGGAUCUUGUAAAGAAGAACGAGGCAAAACUAGCUAAGCUUCAGGACAAUGUGAAGGCGGAUAUCCUAAGUAAUGAAGCCUUUCUUGACCGCGGGUUUACUCGCCCUAAGGUAUUUACCUAUUUUCAUUCCUAUUCUUCUGAAUAUGAAUUUGUGAGAAAUAUACACUUGUUAUCUAUGUUACAUGGAUUUUUCAUUUGCCUUGGUGUACCCGUCGAUCGGGUGAUAAGGAAUGUGACUACUUUUGUGCUGAUUCUACAAAAUACACUAGAAGUUAGCAAAAACCUUUGCGUACUUGCACUGGAUAUUUCCCAACACCAGUAGCGGAUAUCAAGCUUUGUAUGUUUUAUUAGAGGUGCAUCCUUGUCUUGUUUACAAUUUAUAGAUAUUGUUGAGGGCUUUGAUGUGUAAAAUUGAGGAUAUUCUUAGAAGACGAUUUGUAUAUGUUAGUGGGAAAUUGUGUGAUUUCGGUAAAAAGAGAACAUCCCGUCCUACUCUUGAUACAUGCACUUUGCUGGCAUAACCUUGUGUAUUGUCUGUGAGUUAAUACUCUUAAAAGUUAUACCCAUAGUUAGUAGUUAUGGUGGAGCUGGAUUAUUGCAGAGGAGACUACUUGAUGUACAACUAUAACUAUCCAAUCCUCCGUUCAAAGAGACUCUUAAACUUAUUCCAUCCUGACCCACAUUUAUGCAUAUCACUCCUGAUAGUUGGGUUAGCCUUUAAGAGGUUAAAUCACAACAUUGCCCAUCUCCAAAGAAUCAGAAAUACUAGAUAGCCUAGCAAUUUCUCUUUCCAACUUGACAAUUUCUUUUUUUGGUAUGGAUCUGUUAAUNNNNNNNNNNNNNNNNNNNNNNNNNNNNNNNNNNNNNNNNNNNNNNNNNNNNNNNNNNNNNNNNNNNNNNNNNNNNNNNNNNNNNNNNNNNNNNNNNNNNNNNNNNNNNNNNNNNNNNNNNNNNNNNNNNNNNNNNNNNNNNNNNNNNNNNNNNNNNNNNNNNNNNNNNNNNNNNNNNNNNNNNNNNNNNNNNNNNNNNNNNNNNNNNNNNNNNNNNNNNNNNNNNNNNNNNNNNNNNNNNNNNNNNNNNNNNNNNNNNNNNNNNNNNNNNNNNNNNNNNNNNNNNNNNNNNNNNNNNNNNNNNNNNNNNNNNNNNNNNNNNNNNNNNNNNNNNNNNNNNNNNNNNNNNNNNNNNNNNNNNNNNNNNNNNNNNNNNNNNNNNNNNNNNNNNNNNNNNNNNNNNNNNNNNNNNNNNNNNNNNNNNNNNNNNNNNNNNNNNNNNNNNNNNNNNNNNNNNNNNNNNNNNNNNNNNNNNNNNNNNNNNNNNNNNNNNNNNNNNNNNNNNNNNNNNNNNNNNNNNNNNNNNNNNNNNNNNNNNNNNNNNNNNNNNNNNNNNNNNNNNNNNNNNAUCAUAAAAAUAAGGAGUAGUAAAUAUUAUUAUACAUGGUAUUAAAAAAAAUGUAAAUAUACAUAAAUGUUAAAAAUGAUGUAUAAAAAGGAUUUAAAGGGACAUAUUUGUCAUUUACCUAUUUUAUCUCGGGAUAAGUUAUCCCGGGAUUACUAUACCACCCAUGGGGAGGGAUAACUUAUCCCGGUACUAAUUAUUAAUCCCGGGAUAAGUUAUCCCGGACUUGCCAACCAAACAACAUAAUUUUUUUUUUAUCCCAUCACUAUUUCCUUAUCCCAUCACUAUUAUUUCUAAUCCCUCACACCAAACGAGCCCUAAUUAUUUAUUUGAUUUGACUUUCUUGUAAAUAAUUGUUAUGCUAUUAUUAUAAUACUUUAACUUAUUGUGAACAAGUUAAAUAAGUUGAGUAAAGGUAGAUGAUUUUUUUUUUUGGUUUUCACCCAGGUGUUUGGAGAUUAUAUUGAAGCUCUGACUAAAUUUGAAUAGUGCAUGAUCUCUCCCACCACUAUACUAUAACUCAUGUUGGCAAAGAUAGAUGCUUAAUUCAUUUAUUUGGUAGUAAAGUGAUUAAUAUGUAGUUAACUGUUGCGUUGUUUAGUUUUCCAUAAUACAGGUAAUUGUAAUAUUUUCCUCCUAUAAUCUUGCUCUUCGAUUGUUAUUACCGUCUCUUUGUGCUUCCAUAAUUGUUCAAUUAUCACGGAAUUUUGUUGUAGUCAGUGUUUCUUUUCAGGAUAUUUUAUCAUGUUAUCUAUAUAAUAUUUUGCUAUAAUUUCGUCAAAUCUAUUAUUUUUUUUCGAUCUGCUUUGAUAUGUCCUUUCUUGAGCAAACAUCUAUCAAAUAUAGUUUCUUCAAUUCUAUUAUUUAUUUUUCGAUAUCCCUGUAGGACUAAGAUUUAUGUAUUCUCUAAGGGGACGUUUGGUUACUGGUUUGAAUUAUGUAGGUAUUAGUUAUGCAAGGUUUGGUUAUGCAUGUAUUAGCUAUGAAGGAUUUAGUUAUGCAGGAUUUAGUUAUACAUGUAUUAGCUAUGCAGGGUUUAGUUAUGCAGGUAUUAGUUAUGCAGAGUUUAGUUAUGCAGGGUUUAGUUAUGCGGGUAUUAGGUAUGCGGAUAUUAGUUAUGUAGGUAUUAUUUAGCUAUGUAGAGAUAACAAUACAUGAAUUAUUAACUAUUGAAUAUUAAACUUGUUGUAAAUUAUUAAUAUAUAAUAUUUACAAAAUAAUAAUACAUGCUAAUAAAAAUGUGGAAUAUAUUGAAUAAUAUAUAAUGCUAAUAUUUGAUUAGCAUAUGUACCGUCAAAAAAUAUUCAAUCAAAUUUAUAAUAUUAAAAAAAUAUUUAUAUUUGCAUAAAUAAAUAAAAACGGCAAGUAUAUAAAAAGAAAUGAAAAUGGUCUAUCUAUAAAAAGAAAUAAAAACAACAAACGUAGAUAGGAAAGCAGUAAAGUUUUCAAUUAAAAAAAACAAAAUAAAUUAAAAGAAAUGAAAAUGGCCUAUAUAUAAAAAGAAAUAAAAACAACAAACGUAUAUAGGAAAACAGUAAAGUUUCCAAUUAAAAAAAAAAAAAUUAAUAGGAUAAAUAUGUAAUUUAUCAUUUUAAUACAUGUAUAACUAAUUCUCACAUAACUUAUUCCACCUUCUACCCUGCAUAACUUUAUACAUAGAUUCCCUCAUACGUUAUGUGGGUAUUAAUUAUGUAGGACUACAAAAAAUGCAACCAAACACCGAAUAAAUUAAUAUAUGAAUAACUUUUAUACAACAUUUAAAUUCUUACCAACCAAACAUGAUAUAAGUUAUGUUGACUUUUAUACCUAAUACAAAACUUCUACCAAACAUAAUAUAAAGCUAAUGCAACUUUUUAUACUUGAAGAAGAUGUCUCUUAUAUAGUAAUCAAACUACCCUUAAACUCUCUAUAUAUCAAAAAUAGAUCUAGAGAAUAGACCGUGUUCAUCUGACUCCAUAAAAAAAUUAUGAGUUGACUCAUGGAUCAGGAGGUUCAAAAUUCAUCUUGAGUUUUCAAAUUCAAAUUUAAUUUUAAGUAUAUAUGUCACUAUUUUAUACCCACUUAUAGAUUAAACUGAGUAUGUUAUUAUCGUAUACGCACUAUAUAUUAUGCUUGGAUAUUUGAUAAAUUUAGAUCUAUAACCAAAUAGUAGUAGCAAAAUUAACUUACCACAGCUUCCUUGAUCCUUAACACCAACAAGCACACCUUUAUCUCUCCAGUCUACUGAUUCCGGCAAGCUAUCCCCAACUUUAGGAAGAUACCGAUCACUUUUGUUCUUCGACAACCUCCUCCGGUCACCGGAACUCUUCGUACCCAAGUAAAUCGACCUGUACUCCUCAGUAGUCAGAUCGGCGAAUUUCGUCAAUCCGAGCUUAUAACUCUGAUUCGGAACAGAGUUCUGUUCGUCUAUAUAUUUCAAGUUAUCCUUGAAGAUCUGGAAUCUCUUAUCCUUUUCUCCUAAGGCGUUGUACGAUUUUCCGUGCUCGAUUAGCCAGGACUCGUACAACGCCGAGACUUCAUCGUCGGUACGAUGGUGAAUAUGAGUCUCGUCGUAGCUAAUAAUUGACAUGUCGGAAGCGGAGGAUAAGGUGGAGAAGAUAAGCAUGAGAAGUAGGGAUAUGGUGAGAGUUGAGCUGUGAGCUGCCAUGAUAGGUUGAUAUUUUUUUUCCCCUGUAUUGUUGGGGAAGAAGGGGAUUGGGAAAAAUGUAGAGAAAGUAGAGUGUUAUAAAGGGAAAGUGAAGGGGUAUUUUUGGAAAUGUAGAAGUGUGUAGGAAAAAAGAUGGAAAUGAAAAGAACAAAGGACAAAUUUAGCUACUCAAUUCGACGAUCGCAAUCCGUCGUGAAUUCAUAUUUAAUUGAACAAUGAAAAGAACAAAGGACAAAUUUAGCUACUCAAUUCAACGAUCGCAAUCCGUCGUGAAUUCAUAUUUAAUUGAACUCUAACACGAAACCAAAUUUCACCAAAAAAAUAUACUUAAUACUUCCUUUGUUCAUGUUUACUAGUUUAUAUUUAAUUUAACACAUCAUUUAAGAAAGUAAUAAGUAAAAUGAUAAUUUUACAAUACAAUUACUCUUAGGGCCCGUUUGGCCAUGCGAUAUGGUAUCAUGAUAUGGAAUCAUGAGAUGAAAUUGAAGGUUUGUUUGGACAUGCGAUAUGAAAUUUUUGUGUUGUAUAUUUUCUCAUAAACAUAAAAAUCUCAUAAGUUGUAAAACUAUUAAAAUAGCCCCAAUUGUUUAUUCAAUCUUAUCAAAUAAACAAAAAAUUAUAAAAUNNNNNNNNNNNNNNNNNNNNNNNNNNNNNNNNNNNNNNNNNNNNNNNNNNNNNNNNNNNNNNNNNNNNNNNNNNNNNNNNNNNNNNNNNNNNNNNNNNNNNNNNNNNNNNNNNNNNNNNNNNNNNNNNNNNNNNNNNNNNNNNNNNNNNNNNNNNNNNNNNNNNNNNNNNNNNNNNNNNNNNNNNNNNNNNNNNNNNNNNNNNNNNNNNNNNNNNNNNNNNNNNNNNNNNNNNNNNNNNNNNNNNNNNNNNNNNNNNNNNNNNNNNNNNNNNNNNNNNNNNNNNNNNNNNNNNNNNNNNNNNNNNNNNNNNNNNNNNNNNNNNNNNNNNNNNNNNNNNNNNNNNNNNNNNNNNNNNNNNNNNNNNNNNNNNNNNNNNNNNNNNNNNNNNNNNNNNNNNNNNNNNNNNNNNNNNNNNNNNNNNNNNNNNNNNNNNNNNNNNNNNNNNNNNNNNNNNNNNNNNAAUAAUAAAUUUUAUAUUGGUGAGAAUAAUAAAUUUUAAAAAGUAAUGAUGUGAUUAUAAAUUUUAUUUACAUAUGAAACAAAUGGUUAGUAGAUAUAAAUGUUGGGUUGUUUUAACAAAAUAUAAACUCAUGGAUCAAUUAUUGUGUUAAAAUAUCUCAAAUCAUGAUAUGGAAUCACAUGGUGAUUUCAUAUCAUGGUUUUUGGAGAAUAUGGUAUCACCUCUCAUGAUAUGGAAUCAGCGUAAAAUCACAUGUCCAAACACUGAUUCCAUCUCACGACACCAUAUCGUGAUAUGGUAUCGCAUGGCCAAACGCCUACUUAAUUAUUAAAAUUAUCUCACUAGUUAGGAAAUGAAUAGGAUAUUAGUAUUUCCUUCAUUCAUUGUCAACUAAAUAUUUAAAUAUAUUUUUACUUUUACUUGUCACUUUAGCAUAUAUUUUUAUUUUAAAAAAAAAAAAAAAAUCAAGUUUUAUCGUCAACGUUAAUUAUUUUUUCCUCAAAAUUUGAGACUAUAAUAUUAUAAGUAAAAUACUUAUAUUAAUCGUUAUUUUUUUUAAAAGACAUGCAAAAUUUAAAAUGAGCAAUUAAAAUUGUACAAAAAACAUUUAAUAAUAAAAAUAAAAUAGAUAUUAAAAUGAACAUAUAUAUAUAUAUAUAUAUAUAGAUAGAUAGAUAGAUAGAUAGAUAGAUAGAUAGAUAGAUAAGUAAAAAUAGAGAGAUUAAUAAAAGAACCCGCAAAAGGCACAAAUUAGUGGUAGGUGGAGAGGCUGAAACUAAAAAGAAAGAUAUAUAAAAAUAGAGUAAUAGGAUUCUAAAAGGUAUGUAAAAACUAAUAUGUAUGAGAAAAUGAUCAAAAUGGUCCUUCAUAAGGGUUGCUUUAUUCUGAUCCUUAAUAUAUUUCACAUGAUCUAUAUGGUCCUUAAUGUAUAUGAAAGGAUGGUCAUUUUAGUCCAUUAAUCCUAAAACUAACCAAAAAUUUCUGAUUUCUUCUUCUUCUACACAAGUUUCUUCGUGUACUUUACUGGUGUUGAGUGGUUCGCUGACACCAGCGUUUUGGGUAUCAAUACACUGGUGAUUGAGAUCAUUCUAUCCUGGGAGGAUAUAUUCCAAAUCAUUCAUCGGAUACUAGAGGAGAAUAAUUUCCUUAAGGAGACACUGUGCAUUCAGUGGGCUUGAUCUUUUCGUUCUGUUUUUCCAGAUUCUAGUAUGUUUUACAGAUUUUAGUUUUCUUGUUGAAUUAGUUUAUGUUCAUCUGUUGCUUCACUGAUUCGAAUAAACUUUGAUAACUUCGUAUUUCUGCAAAGUUUGUUGAAUUGCUGAUAACAGACUAUACUACAGAAUCUUAAUGGCUUAUUUUAUCCGCAGGUCAGCAUUAGUGUGCUUCGCAUUCAUUUGAGUAGUACUUUCUGGAAAGGGUUGAGGUCCUGAAGUUACUCUUUCGAUUGUUUGAACCUUCAUAAAUUCCUUCAAAUCCUGAGUUGUGGUAAUCAUAUUGGUAUUAUCGUUGCGUUAUGUUGAAAUAUGAUUGGGCCUGAGGUCUUGGUCAAGGACCAGUUGGAUUUCAGGUUAGUUUUCUAUGCUCUGGAGCACAGUGAUUUCGAUUAUGUGCUUUAGGUUGCUUCAUAACUCCAUUUGAAAUUACUCUGAUUGAUCACUCCAAUUCCUUUUCGAGUUGUUACAUGUAUAGCCUCAAAGUGGAGACAAUCUUCUUACCAAGCUUUGAAUUCUGCUGCACCAUAAUUCUUCAUAGAUUAAUAAACUCCAAACACCUAUAUCAAAAGCUCAAUGUGCAAUUUGCGUGAAAUCUAAUUUUCAACUUCAAACUAGUAAGCAAGAUUCCAUAAAUACGUAAACAUGGUGGGACAAAACAAAAGAGGUAAAUGAAAGGUACAGAAGAUAGUCUUUUUUUUAUUAUUAUUGUUGAAACCAAGUACAAAUGGAAGAAUAAACAGCCUAAUGAAAGGGGCAUUACUUGGAGUCUUGUCAUAAUAAGAAACAAGGACUAUGUACUGAAUAAUUAGACAAAGUAGAACAAUAAUCCUUCUUCAAUAAAGAAGCAAUAUAUACAAAUCAUUAAUCAACAUCUUAUAAUCUUGAUAAUGCAUUUAUCUGUCUCUACACCUUUCUGCUGGAAAAUGAGGUUUGUUAAUCAAUGUACCAAUUCACGUCCUCUGUUGGCGCUGCUCUUUCACCUCAUUCCACUGUAUUGGUGCUUGUAGAAUUCAAGAACUGCUCUUCUUUCCUCCAUUUCCGAAGGCCCCAAUAGGCUGUGCAAGAAUGCGCUUCAUUGCCUUCACUCCCAGUGGGUUCCCCUUGCUCUGUAUCAACAAAAGCAAUAGAGUAAGUAGAGAAAAAACUCUGGUACAAAUUCUUUACGGUGUCUGUGUAUAGGAGAGUUUGAACUACUUUGUAGAAAUGACAAAUUCAAAUUACUUACCAUUGAGCAGGUGCCUUGGCGAACAUUGCAGACAGGAUAGUCGUGUGGGCAGCAACUGGAGUGGUCUUCACAGCAAGUGGCUCCUUCAAGUGGGCAGCAUCCCCAAGAGAAGCAAGACCUGCGGAACUCGAGGACACAGCAGCAAGUGGUGCCGACAGGGCAUUGAGAAUAUUCAUCACACUCUGUAGGUGGCUUGACUGGAGAUGGAGGAGAUGGAGCGGGUUUAGGAGGAUUUGCGCCUGUCUUUACUGGAUAUGAAGGCUCUGUGGCUAAACCACACAAGCCACUAGAGCUGGCAACGUUACGUUGGACUCUGAGGUAGCCCUUCUCUCCCCAUUUAGCUCCCCAUGAGUUCCUAACAAUCCAAUAAUCCAUGCCAUUCUCAGUACCAUAUCCAGCAGCAACUACACCAUGAUCCACUGCAGUACCACAUUUUCCAGUAAAGAUACCCUGAAAUUACAAGUAGGAUAAUCGCGUGAAUAAUUGGAUCUGAUCAUUGUUAUAUCAUAGUAAUCGACCUACAAUUAUAAGUAUGUCAACUAAUAUAUCUUUGGUCGAAAAAAACUACACGUCAUUGAUCAAAAGGCAACAUUUUACUGGAAAGACAUUAACUUAGAUUAGGGUAAUACGAGAAUAGAAACAUACAGAUUUGUAGUGCUGGAAGUCUCUGCCACCAGCUUCAAUUGCAAUGCUCACAGGUUGAUGUGCAACAGCCUUUUGUAGCGCCUUUUCGUUAUUAACAGGAACAUCUUCAUAGCUAUCUAUUUUAACAACCUUGGCAUUUUUCUGCAUCACAAACAAAAUAUGUUGCCACUUAUUAGUCUAAAUUUAACAUUGGUAUUUAGUUAAGAGUGUAAUUGAAAUCAAGAAUGUUAUACUGACCCUAUAUUGGUCGCAUACGUCAUUACGUUCUUUGUAAGGGUAGUCUUCUUCAGUGUCAAUUCCUCCAUUAUUGAUGACGAAUUCAAAGGCAUAGUCCAUAAGACCACCAUCGCAACCUUGAUUGUACGACUUAUCACAAUCCACCAACUCUUGCUCUGAUAGUGAUAUCAAAUUCCCGGUUACUAUCGCAUUUAUUGAUUCCAUGGCAGCAACGGCAGAGAAUGCCCAACAACUCCCUGGUUCAUUUAGAACAAAAAUAUUCAGCCAUACGCCAAAUUUAUUGAAUAGAACUAUACAAAUGUUUUGCCAUUUUUUUAUGGUUGGGGCACAUAAUUUAGUGGUAGUUUAGCAGUAAAAUUGUUAUAUCACAAUUCACAUGGGUCAUUUGGUAGCUGGUUAGAAUUCAUAACUCGCAAAUACAUUGCUCAUUCGCCCGAUACAUAAUUAUAAACCAGGUUCAUACUGAUUUAGAUUUAAAAUAAUUGAGAUUAUGUAUUAACAAUAACAUUUGUACCAGAUACAUCAUAUACAAAUAAAGUUGUAAUGUAUCUGAUAGAGGAAGAGUGAUGUAUCUGGUUGUUAAGAGAGAAGAAAAAAGGGGACUUUUGUAAUUAAUUCAAUUGGUAGGAAUUAUUAGAGAUUAUGUUAUCUUCAGUUGUGUAAGUAUGUAAUUUUUCUUUAUUGUAUACAACUACAAGGAUAUGCAUAACAUAAAAUAAUAUAUAAAUCUCCUAAUUCUAUUUUAUACAUGUAUUAGUUAUAUAGAUUUUUAACAUAAUAAUAUUUUUAAUAAAUACGACAAGUAUUUUAAGAAGAGCAAGCAUCUACUAAAAUCAAGACAUGUUGGAGGCAUCAUAGAAUUUUAAAACAUAUUUCAAACUUGUCAAAAAGCUUCAAGAUGCCAAAAGAAACAAAUUAGUUUGCCAAAUGAAUAACAUUUGAAAUCGUGUUCCCUUGUUUUUUUGUUGAUAUUUUUAUAAUUUUACAAUGCACGUCAAUGUCAUAUGGUAUAUUUAUAAGAUGGAUGAAAGUGACAUUAUUGGGUCACUUCAUGUAAAGUUUAUAUCGAUUUGCAAAUUAAAUAUAGCAUAUAUUAUAUUCUAUUAACAUCAAUCAUUGAGCUUUUCCAUAAUUAUCAAGUUCCGUUGUUUAAACUUUUUCACCAUAAUUAUCUGUUGUGUUCAUAUUUGACACGGAAAAAAAUUAGGAUUUUUUUUUUUUUUUAGAACAAACAAUCAUAUUCUAAUACUUCAAUUUAUUUAUUUGAUUUGACUUUCUUGUAAUUAGUUGUUAUGCUAUUAUUAUAAUUUAACUUAUUGUGAACAAGUAAUUUUUUGAUUUCUCACCCGGGUGUCUGGAGUUCAUAUUGGAACUCUAAACACACAACCCUCAAGGAACAUAUUUAACCCCUUAACCAUUAGAUUAAACUUUUCACUUGUAUCAAAAGGUAUCAAUACUGUUAUAUAUAUUUAUUAAAUCAAAUUUUGACCUUUAUAUACAAUGUAAUUUUUACUUGACACCCCUUGAUACAGGGUAGGUCCGCCCCGAUUAAUCGGUAGUAAAGUGAUUAAUAUGUAGUAAAGUAUUGUGUUGUUUAGUUUUCCAUAAUACAGGUAAUUUUAAUAUUUUCCUCCUAUAAUCUUGCUCUUCGAUUGUUAUUACUAUCUCUUUGUAUUUCAAUAAUUGUACAAUUAUCACGGAAUUUUGUUGUAGUCAGUGUUUCUUUUCAGGAUAUUUUAUCAUGUUAUCUAUAUAAUAUUUUGCUAUAAUUUCUUCACUUCUAUUAUUUCUUUUUCGAUCUGCUUCGAUAUGUCCUUUCUUGAGCAAAUAUCUAUCAGAUAUAGUUUUUUCAGUUCUAUUAUUUAGUUUUCGAUAUCCUUGUAAGACUAAAAUUUAUGUAUUACUCUAAAUUCUAGAUAUACCAAAGACAGAUCUAGAGAAUAGUGAAGGUUCAUCUUAACUCCAUAAAAAAAUUAUGAGUUGACUUAUAGAUCAAGAGGUUCAAAAUUCAUCUUACGUUUUCAAGUUAGUAUAUCUAUCACUGUUGUAUACCCCACUUAUAGAUUAAACUGAGUAUGUUAUUAUCCUAUACGUACUAUAUAUUAUGCUUCGAUAUUUGAUAAAUUUAGAUUUAUAACCAAAUAGUAAUAGCAAAAUUAACUUACCACAGCUUCCUUGAUCCUUCACACCAACAAGCACACCUUUAUCUCUCCAGUCAACUGAUUCCGGCAAGCUAUCCCCAACUUUAGGAAGAUACCGAUCACUUUUGUUCUUCGACAACUUCCUCCGGUCACCGGAACUCUUAGUGCCCAAGUAAAUCGACCUGUACUCCUCAUUAGUCAGAUCGGCGAAUUUCGUCAAUCCGAGCUUAUAACUCUGAUUCGGAACAGAGUUCUGUUCGUCUAUAUAUUUCAAGUUAUCCUUGAAGAUCUGGAAUCUCUUAUCCUUUUCUCCUAAAGCGUUGUACGAUUUUCCGUGCUCAAUUAGCCAGGACUCGUACAACGCCGAAACUUCAUCGUCGGAACGAUGGUGAAUAUGAGUCUCGUCGUAGCUAAUAAUUGACAUGUCGGAAGCGGAGGAUAAGGUGGAGAAGAUAAGCAUGAGAAGUAGGGAUAUGGUGAGAGUUGAGCUGUGAGCUGCCAUGAUAGGUUGAUGUUUUUUUUUUGUUUCCCUGUAUUGUUGGGGAAGAAGGGGAUUGGGGAAAAUGUAGAGAAGGUAGAGUGUUAUAAAGGGAAAGUGAAGGGGUAUUUUUGGAAAUGUAGAAGUGUGUAGGAGAAAAGAUGGAAAUGGAAAGAACAAAGGACAAAUUUAGUUACUCAAUUCACUUUGAAUUCAAAUUUAAUUGAACUCUAACACGAAAUCAAAUUUAACCAAAACAUAUACUUAAUAUUUCCUUUGUUCAUGUUUACUAAAUCAUAUUUAAUUUAACAUAUCAUUUAAGAAGUAAUAAGUAAAAUGAUAAUUUUACAAUAUAAUUACUCUUAAUUAUUACAAAUUAUCUCAUCAGUUAGGAAAUAAUUAGUAUUUCCUUCAUUCAUUUUUGUUUGUCAACUACAUAUUUAAAUAUAUUUUUAUUUGUCACUUUAGCAUAUUAAAAAAAAAUUCAAGUUUUAUCCUCAAUAUUAAUUAUCUUUUCCUCAAAAUUUGAAGCUAUACAUCAAUUAAUAUGAAUAUUAUGAGCAAAAUAUUCAUAUUAAUUGUUAUUUUUUAAAGACACACAAAUUUUAAAGUGAAUAAUUAAAAUUGUACAAAAAAACACUUAAUAAUAAAAAAAUAAAAUAGAUAUUAAAAUGAACAUAUAUUUUUUAUAUAUACUACUAAUAGAUAAGUAAAAAUAAAGGGAUAAGGGUCUGAAAAAUACCCCAACUUUGGUUGGAUUUGCUGUUGCGAUACUAAACUUUCAUGAGGACCUAUUACCUCCCUAGACUAUUUAAUACCGUAUUUUAAACAUAUAUAUUUGCCCACGUGGACAUAAAAAAUAAUGUAAAAUUAUAAAUAGUAAUGUGUCCACGUGGGCACAUAUAUACCUUUAAAAUACACUAUUAAAUAAGAGAGAGAAGUGAUUAAUAAAAGAACCCUCAAAAGGCACAAAUUAGUGGUAGGUGGAGAGGCUGAAACAAGAAAGAAAGAUAUAUAAAAAUAAAGUAACAAGUAGAAUAUAAUAAAUUAUUUUACAUUCAUACAAAUAUGAUUUAUUUUGAAUUAACUAUAUCGUAUAAAUUAGAACAAAGAAAGUAAUCAAUUUAUCCGAAUAAAUUAUAAUUUACUCUUAAUACAAAGUGCAAUUAUAAUAUCUUGGAAAGUGAAGCUUUAGGUAGUUGAAAACAAAAAAUAUAUGUGAUUUGUUUUGAAUUAACUAUAUCGUAUAAACUAGAACAAAGAAAGUAAUCAAUUUAUCCUAACAAAUUAUAAUUUACUCUUAAAUACAAAGUGCAAUUAUAAUAUCUUGGAAAGUGAAGCUUUAGGUAGUUGAAAACAAAAAAUAUUUUUUUAAAAAUAAAUAAUUUGCUCUUUUUAUAUAUGAGGAAUAAUAAAUAAAACUUUUCUAAAAUGUGAUAAUUAAAUAUGGGAGUUGAGAUUCUGAUAUUUGUCCAAGUAGUGAGAAUGUAGAUUUUUAAAAUAAGAUUCUUAUCUACUGUUGCGCGGUAUCAAAGUAAGACACGUUGAUUGGAUAAGAAAAGACUGAAUGGGCCUUGUUGUUCUCUACUGUAGGACCCAUAAGCCUAACUUUUCCUACUAUAAUUUAAUCUUUUUUCCGUAAAAUCUUAGCAGCUCAGUUGUUUAAUUAUCUUAGAUGGAGUUUGAUUCUCAUUUUGAUUAUCUUAAGAAGAGUUCGAUUCUCAUUUUGUAAUUAUUCUCUUCUAUUUCUUUUUUCAUUUCCUCGAUAUAAGUAAAGGUAUAUGUAUUGACUUAUUCAGUAGGACUACAUUGAGUAUGUUGUUAUUAUAUUAAAAAAAGGAAAAAAGGUUUGAAAAAUACUUUAACUUUGUCCGAAAUUGUUGUUACGAUACCAAACUUUAUGAAGGACCUUUUACCCCCUGCACUAUUUCAUAGUGUAUUUUAAAGGUGUAUAUGUGCCCACGUGGACACGUUACUAUUUAUAAUGAUGCAGUAUUUAUGAUGUCCACGUGGGCACAUAUAUACCUUUAAAAUAUACUAUUAAAUAGUGCAGGGGUAAAAGGUCUUUUCCAAAGUUCGAUAUUGUUACAGCAAUUUCGAUCAAAGUUCGAAUAUAUUUCAAACUUUUUUCCUUAAAAAAUAAAAUAGAAUUGGAUGUGUGAGCUAAGUUAAUGAGAGAUUGUUUGAUAUAAACAUAAUUGUUUUUAUUUUAAAAAGUCAUCUUCAAAAAGUUAAUUUCUACUAUUUUUUUGUAAAAACUUAUAUGUAACAACAGAAAAAUAGCAAAAGUGUUGUAAAACAAGAGGAAAAUGCAAGAAUACUUAAACAAGAAAGUAAGGCAAAAGUGUGAUGGAAAGUAUAAAGUUGAGAGCCUUAUUUUAAUCUCUUCAAUUGUGUAUUUCUUAAGGGUGAAGAAGACCCUUUUAUAAGAGGUAAAAAUCAUUCGUUUACUACCUUAACCAAAAUACGUUAGUAAUCUUUAAUUCUUACAUUAAAUUAAUACAUGCAUUACGUUAGGUUGAUGAAAAGAAACAUCCAUAUUAAAUGGAUUUGUAACACUCCCCCUUGGAUGUUUAUAGAUAAUGUGCCUCGUUAAAACCAUACUAGAAAAAACCCAGUGGGAAAAAUCCUAGUGAAGGAAAAAGAGUACACACAUCUUGUAAUACGCCUUGAGUGUUGCCUCAUUAAAAACCUUACCAGGAAAACCCAAUGGUACAAAACCUUGGCUAAGGGAAAAAGAGUACAACGCGUAUUUUACUCCCCAUGAUGAAAAAUUUAUUUGAUAUCUUGGAGAUGACGCAUUCCAAUCUUAUAUCUUAGCUUCUCAAAUAUUGACGUUGGCAAUGCCUUAGUGAAUAAAUCUGCAAGAUUAUCACUCGAACGAAUCUGUUAAACAUUUAUCUCACCAUUUUUGUUGAAGAUCAUGUGUGAAAAAGAACUUAGGUGAAAUAUGUUUUGUUCGGUCUCCUUUGAUAUAUCCUCCCUUUAAUUGAGCUAUGCAAGCAGCAUUAUAUUCAUACAAUAUUGUUGGAGUCUUUGUUUGCACAGAAAGACCGCAUAAUUGCAAAAUGUGUUGAGUCAUUGAUCUCAACCAUACACAUUCUCGACUAGCUUCAUGAAUGGCUAUUAUCUCUGCAUGAUUUGAAGAAGUAGCAACUAUUGUUUGCUUCAUCGAACGCCAUUAUAUAGCUGUACCUCCGUAUGUUAAUAAAUAGCCUGUCUGAGAUCGAGCUUUCUGUGGGUCAGACAAAUAGCCAGAAUCUGUAUAACCGAUCAAUUCUGACUUGGAUGCAUUAGAAUACAACAAUCCCAUAUCAAUUGUUCCUUGAAGAUAUCUGAAUAUAUGCUUAACACAUUUCCAAUGUCUUCUUGUUGGGCAUGAGCUGAAUCUCGCCAAUAAACUUACUGUGAAACAAAUAGCUGACCGGGUAUUGUUGGCUAGGUACAUUAGUGCCCCAAUAGCACUAAGAUAUGGUGUUUCAUCACCAAGAAUCUCUUCAUCAUUUUCUUGAGGUCGGAAUAGAUCUUUAUUUAUAUCGAGAGAUCUCACAACCAUCGGGGUACUCAAUGGGUGUGAUUUAUCCAUGUAAAAUCGCUUCAAAACCUUUUAUGUAUAUGUUGAUUGAUGGAUAAAUAUUCCACUUUUCAAAUGUUCAAUCUGAAGGCCAAGACAAAAUUUUGUCUUUCCAGGAUCUUUCAUUUCAAAUUCUUUCUUCAAACACUCAGCGGCUUUUGAAAGCUCUGUAGGAGUUCCAAUGAUGUUCAAGUCAUCAACAUAAACAAAUAUUAUUACAAAUUCAGAUUGUGACCUUCGUAUAAAAAUACAAAGACAAAUAGGGUCAUUCUUAUACCCCUCUUUUAGCAAAUAUUCGCUAAGAUAAUUAUACCACAUUCGCCCUGAUUGUUUCAAUCCAUAUAAGAAUUUCUGAAGCUUUAUUGAACAACUUUCUUUUGAAUUUUCAUAUGCUUCAGGCACUUUGAGUGCUUCAGGGAUUUUCAUAAAAAUAUUGUGGUCUAGUGAGCCAUAUAAAUAGACUGUGACAACAUCCAUUAGAUGCAUUUCAAGCUUUUCAUGAACUGUCAUAUUUAUUAGAUACCUGAAGGUAAUUGCAUCUACCACAGGAGAAUAUGUCUCCUCAUAAUCAAUGUCAGGCCUUUGCGAAAAUCCUUGUGCCACAAGUCGUGCUUUAUAUCUUACGACUUUACUAUUUUCAUUGCGUUUUCACACAAAAACCCACUUGUACCCAACUGGCUUGACACCUUCAAGGGUUCAAACUAUUGGUCCAAAAACUUCACAUUUUUCAAGUGAAGCCAAUUCUGUUUGAAUUGCUUCCUUCCAUUUUGACCAAUCAUUUCUCUGUCUACAUUCAUUGACAAAUCUUGGCUCUAAAUCCUUUUCUUGUUGCAUUAUUUCAACUGCAACAUUAUAGGCAAAAAUAUUAUCCACCACAAUAUUAUUUCGAUUCCACAUUUUUCUCGUCGAGACAUAAUUUAUAGAGAUUCCCUCAUUCUCAUUAUUUUCAGGUACAUGGACCUCAUCUGUGGUGUCUUCAUUUAUUAUGUCUUGGAGCUCUUCAUGAGCAAUUGCCUCUAUAUUAUGAUCAUNNNNNNNNNNNNNNNNNNNNNNNNNNNNNNNNNNNNNNNNNNNNNNNNNNNNNNNNNNNNNNNNNNCUUUUUCGAGGAUUUUUAUCCUUGGAACCAAUUGGUCUACCACGUUUUAAGUGUAGUCCAGACUCAUCUGCUUAACAUUUUGUCCUUUCGGGACAUCAACUCGAACUUGAGCAUUAGCAGCUGGGAUAUAUGAUUUAGUAACCCGUGAAAAGUUAGUAAAUGCAUCUGGUAAUUGAUUUGCAAUAUUCAGGAAAUAAAUUAUCUUUUGAACUUCUUGCUCACAUUGAUUUGUUCGAGGAUCUAAAUGAGACAGUGAAAGUGAAUUCCAAUAUAUCUCAUUUCCUAAUUGCUUUUGUUCUCCCCCUAAUGUUGGGUAUACUGAUUCAUCAAAAUGACAAUCAAUAAACCUUGCCGUAAAUAAAAUCUCCAGUUCUAGGUUUCAAAUAUUUUAUAAUAGAACGAGAUUCAUACCCAACAUAUAUCCCUAACCUUCUUUUGGGGGACCCCUAUCUUUAUGCGUUGUGGUGGAGCAAUUGGAACAUAUACCGCACAACCAAAGAUUCUAAGAUGGGAAAUGUUUGGCUCCUGGCCAAAAACCAAUUGUAAUAGGGAGAUGUCAUGAUAACUGGUUGACCUUAUGCGCACAAGUGCCGCUGCAUGCAAAAUAGCAUGCCCCCAAACCGAAACAGGCAACUUUGUCCUCAUCAACAAUGGUCUAGCUAUCAAUUGAAGACGUUUAAUCAAUGAUUCUGCUAAACCAUUUUGAGUAUGAUCGUGCAACAGGAUGUUCAACUGUUAUUCCAGUGGACAAACAAUAAUCAUUAAAUGCCUGAGAUGUAAACUCACCAGUGUUAUCAAGACGAAUUGUUUUUAUUGCAUAAUCUGGAAAUUGUGCUUUUAACCUUAUUAUUUGAGCCAACAACCUCGCAAAAGCCAUAUUACGAGUUGAUAAUAAGCACACAUGAGACCAUCUUGUAGAUGCAUCUAUCAAGACCAUAUAAUAUUUAAAUGGUACACAUGCAGGGUGAAUAGGCCCACAUAUAUCACCCUGUAUCUGUUCCAAAAAUGCGGGAGAUUCCACUCCAACCUUAGUUGUUGAUGGUUUGGUAACCAACUUUCCUUGUGAACAAGCAACACAAGAGAAUUUCUUUGAUUAAAGAACAUUUUGGUUCUUCAAAGUAUGCCCAUGUGAAUUCUUAAUUAUUCUGUGCAUCAUAUUAUAAUCGGGAUGGUCCAACCGGUCAUGCCAAAUGAUAAAAUCAUUAGAAUCAGUAAACCUUUUGUUUACUACGACAUGUGAUUCAACCGUACUAAUAUUUGUAUGGUACAACCCAGAAGAAAGUGCAGGUAAUUUUUCAUGCAAAAGUUUCUUCUCCGCAUUUAUUGUAGUAAUAUAAAGGUAUUCAACCUUUCCUUCAUUCGUAGUCUCAACAUGAUAGCUAUUUUGGCGAAUAACCUUGAAACUUAACAAGUUUCUAUGAGACUUACUACAAUACAAUGCAUUAUCAAUUAUCAAUAAUGUUCCUCUAGGUAGUAAUAAGGUCGCUCUUCCAGAGCCCUCAAUCAAUUUUGUACUACCAGAUAUUGUAUUAACAUAUGCCUUUUGCAUUAUUAAAUGAGAGAAAUAUUUUUUUUCUCUUAGUAUCGUAUGAGUUGUGGCACUGUCCAGAAGACACAUAUCUCCAUUACUCAUCUUGGAUCCAACUGAAGACUAGGAAAUUUUAUUUAUCUUCAUAAAAAUAAAAAUACAUAAUAAGAAGUACGAAACUUAAAAAAAGAAAAUUUAAGUACAUGAACUUCAAGUAAGACAUUAAAAACACAUAAUAUUAUUCAUUUCCCAAUUCAAUUAUCAAUCUUCAAUCCAGUUUAAUUAUCAAUCUUCAGUUGCGAUCCCCGAAGAAGUCCUCAGCUUCUAGAUGAGUAAUAUCAUCGAGCACAUCAAAAGCGUCAUCUUUCAAUGCUAAAUUCGCCUCAACAUUCUCAUCAUAUUUUUUAGAAGACCCUGUCUGAGCAUCAUCUUUGAGAGUCAAAUGUGACUCUACUCGGGCAUUAGAAGAGGAGGCACCACAUUU
rnacentral:lncRNA from 1 species